GUGAAUGUGAUUGUGAUGGUGAAUAUGAAGGUGAUGGUGUUGCUGUUGGAGUGGAGCUGAAGAGAGUUUUGAAGACGGAGAGUCUGGAAACCAGAGAGUUAAAAAGGUCCCAGGCAGUCAAUGGCACCAUUUUUGUCUCUAAUGGACAGCACAAACAACAGAUCAAGAGGACAAGGCACCAGAUCAUGUCUGCUCUUGGAAAUGAAGCAGUGUCGGCCCAGUUAGUACCAAUGAAUACCAGGUGUUGUGGGCUUUAUUUCAGAGGAGAAAAAACUGUGUAUUCCUUACCAAAGAAAACCUAUGAACUCAAGUGAUCUCCAAAGUCCAGGGACACCAUAAGUCAAGUGGUCCUUUAACACACAUAAAAUUACUCUGACCAUGAGUAAUGAGUUCAAGGCCAGCUCGGAGC
rnacentral:lncRNA from 11 species